rnacentral:rRNA from 1 species
AGAUUGAACGCUGGCGGCAUGCCUUACACAUGCAAGUCGAACGGCAGCACGGGAGCAAUCCUGGUGGCGAGUGGCGAACGGGUGAGUAAUACAUCGGAACGUGCCCAAUCGUGGGGGAUAACGCAGCGAAAGCUGUGCUAAUACCGCAUAAGAUCUACGGAUGAAAGCGAGGGGAUCGCAAGACCUUGCGCGAAUGGAGCGGCCGAUGGCAGAUUAGGUAGUUGGUGAGGUAAAGGCUACACCAAGCCUUCGAUCUGUAGCUGGUCU